rnacentral:rRNA from 1 species
GUGCCAGCCGCCGCGGUAAUACGUAGGGGGCGAGCGUUGUCCGGAAUCACUGGGCGUAAAGGGCGCGUAGGUGGUUGUCUGUGUCUCAUGUGAAAACUCAGGGCUCAACUCUGAGAUGGCGUGGGAAACUAGGCAGCUAGAGGACGGUAGAGGGGAGUGGAAUUCCCGGUGUAGCGAUAAAAUGCGUAGAUAUCGGGAGGAACACCAGUGGCGAAGGCGGCUUUCUGGCCUGUAACUGACGCUGAGGCGCGAAAGCUGGGGGAGCGAACCGGAUUAGAUACCCUGGUAGUCCCAGCCGUAAACGAUGGGUACUAGGUGUUGGGGUUGACAUGACCUCAGUGCCGGAGUUAACGCGAUAAGUACCCCGCCUGGGGAGUACGGCCGCAAGGUUGAAACUUAAAGGAAUUGGCGG